AGUGAACGCUGGCGGUAGGCCUAACACAUGCAAGUCGAACGGCAGCACAGUAAGAGCUUGCUCUUACGGGUGGCGAGUGGCGGACGGGUGAGGAAUACAUCGGAAUCUACUUUUUCGUGGGGGAUAACGUAGGGAAACUUACGCUAAUACCGCAUACGACCUACGGGUGAAAGCAGGGGAUCUUCGGACCUUGCGCGAUUGAAUGAGCCGAUGUCGGAUUAGCUAGUUGGCGGGGUAAAGGCCCACCAAGGCGACGAUCCGUAGCUGGUCUGAGAGGAUGAUCAGCCACACUGGAACUGAGACACGGUCCAGACGCCUACGGGAGGCAGCAGUGGGGAAUAUUGGACAAUGGGCGCAAGCCUGAUCCAGCCAUACCGCGUGGGUGAAGAAGGCCUUCGGGUUGUAAAGCCCUUUUGUUGGGAAAGAAAAGCAGAGGUUAAUACCCCGCUGUUCUGACGGUACCCAAAGAAUAAGCACCGGCUAACUUCGUG
rnacentral:rRNA from 1 species